UGCUACAGGCUUAACACAUGCAAGUCGAGGGGCAGCAUGGUCUUAGCUUGCUAAGACUGAUGGCGACCGGCGCACGGGUGAGUAACACGUAUCCAACCUGCCGUCUACUCUUGGACAGCCUUCUGAAAGGAAGAUUAAUACAAGAUGGCAUCAUGAGUCCGCAUGUUCACAUGAUUAAAGGUAUUCCGGUAGACGAUGGGGAUGCGUUCCAUUAGAUAGUAGGCGGGGUAACGGCCCACCUAGUCUUCGAUGGAUAGGGGUUCUGAGAGGAAGGUCCCCCACAUUGGAACUGAGACACGGUCCAAACUCCUACGGGAGGCAGCAGUGAGGAAUAUUGGUCAAUGGGCGAGAGCCUGAACCAGCCAAGUAGCGUGAAGGAUGACCGCCCUAUGGGUUGUAAACUUCUUUUAUAAAGGAAUAAAGUCGGGUAUGGAUACCCGUUUGCAUGUACUUUAUGAAUAAGGAUCGGCUAACUCCGUGCCAGCAGCCGCGGUAAUACGGAGGAUCCGAGCGUUAUCCGGAUUUAUUGGGUGUAAAGGGAGCGUAGAUGGAUGUUUAAGUCAGUUGUGAAAGUUUGCGGCUCAACCGUAAAAUUGCAGUUGAUACUGGAUAUCUUGAGUGCAGUUGAGGCAGGCGAAAUUCGUGGUGUAGCGGUGAAAUGCUUAGAUAUCACGAAGAACUCCGAUUGCGAAGGCAGCCUGCUAAGCUGCAACUGACAUUGAGGCUCGAAAGUGUGGGUAUCAAACAGGAUUAGAUACCCUGGUAGUCCACACGGUAAACGAUGAAUACUCGCUGUUUGCGAUAUACUGCAAGCGGCCAAGCGAAAGCGUUAAGUAUUCCACCUGGGGAGUGCGCCGGCAACGGUGAAACUCAAAGGAAUUGACGGGGGCCCGCACAAGCGGAGGAACAUGUGGUUUAAUUCGAUGAUACGCGAGGAACCUUACCCGGGCUUAAAUUGCAGAUGAAUUACGGUGAAAGCCGUAAGCCGCAAGGCAUCUGUGAAGGUGCUGCAUGGUUGUCGUCAGCUCGUGCCGUGAGGUGUCGGCUUAAGUGCCAUAACGAGCGCAACCCUUGUUGUCAGUUACUAACAGGUUCCGCUGAGGACUCUGACAAGACUGCCAUCGUAAGAUGUGAGGAAGGUGGGGAUGACGUCAAAUCAGCACGGCCCUUACGUCCGGGGCUACACACGUGUUACAAUGGGGGGUACAGAGGGCCGCUACCACGCGAGUGGAUGCCAAUCCCAAAAACCUCUCUCAGUUCGGACUGGAGUCUGCAACCCGACUCCACGAAGCUGGAUUCGCUAGUAAUCGCGCAUCAGCCACGGCGCGGUGAAUACGUUCCCGGGCCUUGUACACACCGCCCGUCAAGCCAUGGGAGCCGGGGGUACCUGAAGUGCGUAACCGCGAGGAGCGCCCUAGGGUAAAACUGGUGACUGGGGCUAAGUAGUAACAAGGUA
rnacentral:rRNA from 1 species